rnacentral:lncRNA from 1 species
GCACAAUUGGUCAGCCUCAACCCUAAUCUCUUCCUAUAAAUAAUAGUAUCUGAACGUGAUUUGGACAGGUUUUAUCCUCCGCCCUAUACCAUUUUAGCUAUCCAAAUUGCUCUAAAACAUCUUUCUUUGGCAUUCUCAUUUUGUCUCUGUCAAAAACUCUAGUUUUCGAGUGUGUUUCGAUAUCGUUGUCAUCGAUUUUGAGCGUAGACUAUGGACCAAAGCACCCCCACCCCCGUUCACUGCCAUGCAUCAGGUACAUCUGUCUCCCCUUUUCUCUGUUUCGUCCCUUUAAUAAAAUCUUACAUUAUGUGUGUUUGAAAAAUGUGUAUUAAGAGUUCUGUUUAAGUUAAUCAACUAUAGUGUUAAAAAUGUAUUUUUCUGCUUUAGUUUAAGGCCUGAGAGACUCAAGGUCACAUUCUUUCCACGUUUUGGUUGUCAUGAAUCUGAGAAUGAUUUCUUGUCUUUUGGAUUCACUAUUUGUGCAAAAUUAUUUUUUUUGUUUCUAGAUUAAUACUAGUUAUGGAGAAUUCAUCAAAUGUUUGUUUUGUCUAGUUUAAGGAUGUUGUUUUGUUUAGUUAAAAAAUAUUAUACAGAGUUUUCAUCAAACCUCCUCUAAAUAGACUUUUUUUGGCCUUUCUUUUUAAGUCUUUGUAUUUGUUCUAUUUAGCAAAUAUGUGUAGGUAAGUUAUGGUUCUAAAAUGUCAUCAUACCUGAAAUACUCUUCGAUCAUUCUUUUCGUUCGUGUUUUAUUUUUUAAAAAAACUGUCUUCAUUAUACUUUAAACCUAGUAGAUGUGAGGAUUAUUUUUCGGACAUAUAUCACAAUUUAGCUAUUUUAAGUUGGUUUGAGAGUCCCCAAUUGUGAGAUGGUUAUGUCGUUAGACACUUGCAUAUUUAAUGCGUUGUAUGGUACCUUUGUUAUAUGAUUUAUCUAAUCUAUUUUAUUCAAAACCAUUGAGGAGUUAACCGGCUUUCACUUUAAGUCAUUAAUUUGUGUAUUUUCGAGAAAUCUGUGUACCAGAUAUUUUGUCUAAGUUACUUGGCUAUAAUAGAAGUAGUAUUAAAAUGCACUUUGUUUGAGUUUAAGGCUUGUAGAGAUUCGAAGUCACAUUCCUUUCACGUUUUCGCUAUAAUGAACUUGUGAAUUAUUUUUUUUCUGAGGAUACUUGCAUCAAAUCAGUUUUUUCUUGUUUCUAAAUUGACGUUAGUUACAUAGUUCUCUGAAAAAGGAAAAAAAAUGUUGAGGAGAUGUUGACUUUUGGUUACUUUUGUUUUGAUCAUUUGCCAUCUAUCUCAUCUAAUAUAAUGUGAGCCCAUAAUCCUCAAAGGCCUUGCCUACGAUUUUAUUCCCUUUCUGCAUAUUGCGCACACAUUUUUUCUGGAAGCUUUUAUACAUUUUGUUGGCAGGACAUAUAUGUAGAAAGGUUCAUUUUUGUAGAACAUAUAAUGUUUUGAGGUCCUGGAAUCUUUUUUCAUGUUUUAAAAGAUAUGUGUUUGGAUAUUGUUUGAGACUUAUACAAGUCUGUAUCUAAUCUCGCCUAGCGUAGACAUUACUGAAUUAAAAAAAAAUGGUUUGUUUUGGGGAUAAAAAUGGGGUCAGCUUCUUCGAUUUCACUCCAAGAUUUUUGCUCAUUUGGAAAUGAGAAUGCCAGUGAAAGAUGUUUUAGAGAAGUCUUCAGAGAAGUCUUUGCCAUGAGAAAAGUCUUGCUUUUAAGGCUCUUUGUCAUGAGAGAAAUCUUGCUUUUAAGGCUCGACGUAUCGAUGGAAACAUGCAUCACUCAUCAUGCAUUGCCCUUGUUUCACCCAUUCGAAUAGAAAACAAAAAUGAGCGCGAAGGAGUUGCUAUUUCCAUCUUAGCCUUUCCCUUUACUUGGUUCUUUAUAUGUUUUGUUAUAUUUAUUUAGUUAGCGUUGUCUUCAAUAUUUUGAUUAUUUUCAUAGAACAACAAAGUCGCGAAUAAUUAUGAAGUCAGACGGGUUAGUAGAGAAUGUAAGAGUACUGUGUGUUAAUUCCUACAGUGUUUCCAAGGGAAUAGUUACGCCCCUUUUUUAGAACCAAGUUUUCUCUUGUUUAAAUUCCAAAAAGAUCCUUCUGAAAUUUGCAAAUAAAAAAAAAAAUAUUUUAAACAUUUGAUGUUCCUCUUUCAACUGUAAACAAACAUGUUUCAUUAAAAAAAAUUACAUAUUUUUUUAAUAAGGUUUUUUUAAAACUUUUUUUAAUUGCAAGAAUAGAAAGAAUCCUGCUUUAAUAUGUUUGAAUUUCCCAGAAUUUUUUUUCUAUUUAACAUUUUAUGUCACCUAAUUAACAAAAAGGGGAGAUAAAAGGUCGAAGAUUCUUGUUUUAGUUAAAGCCAAAUGAACCUUCUUUUUUAAAAAAAAAAAUAUCACUUGUUGUUCCGCCAAUGCAAAAGCUCUUUUUAAGUUUAAAUUUUCCCACUAAGUUUAAAAAAUGUUUUCUCACUUUAUAGCUAGGCAUUCUUUUUUUAUUUUUUUAAAUUAUCUUAGAACUUAUUUUGAUUUUAGUUAAUUUGAUUAAUCUAAGUUUGAUCGGUUAAUCAUAGUUAUCGGAUUCCUUAGGGAGCCUAACCCCUUCCCUAUAGGAUAAUUAGAAUCUUUAUCUAGAAUUACUUUAAGUUAAGUAGACCUUAAAAUGAAGUUUUUAUUUUCUUUUAAUCACAUAGUGUAGAAUUGGUGUCCUAAUUCACUGUAGAAACUAAUUAGGUGGCGACUUGCUUAAUUUAAUUAUAAGUUUUUCAAUAUGUUGUACCUUGGUUUGAUCCGUGUUAAAAUAGGGUAUAAUAGCUUGGCGACUUCACCGGCGAUUAUUAGGUUCUUAAUUAGAAUGAUUGAAGGCGUCCUGCACAAGUUGAGGAUAUAGUGAAAAAAUUUCAAUUCAACGUAAAAGUUAGCGGUCACAAGAAAAUUAUGGUGCCUUUCUACACUCUUCAAGAUCUCUCCUGAUAAGCUUGUGGUUAGAGAAUUGAUUUCAUUUUGGGACCCAAUCGAGUUAUAUUUUCAUUCAAAGACUUUGAAGUCACCACCACAUUAGAGGAGAUCAAUUAUUUCACUAAUUUAAAGUAUCAAGGGAGAGGUCAGAUCACUCUGCAUAGUCAAUUAGGAAAGAAAUUUCUUUGCUACUUGGUGUUAAAGAACACUAAUAAACUCCGAUGCUUCAAAAAUAAUUGGGUUUCUUUUGGAUUAUGUGUACGAGAGAUAUGAUUGUCAAGUCAGUUAUAAGUUGUUUAAGAAAGAAUUCACUUGCACUUUUAACAAUUGGUGGGUUAGAUGUCUGAUUACAUUUAUCGUUACCUUGUUAGGAACUUUGGUAUUUCCGCGAGAAUAUGAAAAUAUCAGUACCUACAUAUGUUCUAUGGCUCGAGAACUUUUUAAAAGAGUUGAUGGAGCAGAAAUCACCUUGGUUCCUAUGAUCUUGACAGAAAUAUUUCGUGUACUUGGAAAGUGUAAAACAGGUAAAACAAGCUUCUUUAAAGGUUUCAAUCGUCUUCUGCAGAUAUGGGCAACAGAGCAUCUCUACAAACUUGACAACUUAAUUGACAUAAUGUUUAGUGCUUCACAUGUGAUUGACCCUUAUGAUAAAAGGAUGAGAAGAUUUGUGUUCCCAAUCGACACUGAUGAUUGGUUUGAUAUUUUAGCCUCCCGUACCAGUGACCAAAUCUAGUGGAAAUACCAUUACUCUCAUGUUCUAUGGCUUACAUAGGAUGCAGAGGACUUUAUUAUAUUGAUCUUAUCAGUUUGAAAUGUCUAUAAUGGUCAGACAUAAAUCAUCCCCCUCCGAGCAAAUGUGCGAGUUUCUGAAGUCUUCUUUGGAUCAUACUUUAGAGUCCCUAAAGCUAGUCAAAUUCUACAUGAAUGGAGUAAUAUUCUCACAAUAUAUGUGAGGCAUAGAUCAGCAGAGUGUAUUCCAGAAUAUCAAGUAUGGAUUCGAGAAUAUUGUGGCAAUAUAGACCCUAGUCCACAAGGUGAACAAGGUUUUGAUGAUGUUGGAAUGACUAUUUGGAUAAGGCAUUCUCGUCUUGGAAUCAUGGUGGUCACGCCUGAAAUGUGGGCUCAAAUGGCCAACAUAAUAUAGUAUUUGGAAAAUGCGGGAGUGGGGCCUAAUAAUAUUGGAGCAUCAUCUUCACAUCCUCCAUCGACAUGAUUAGAAGCAGGGUCUAAGCCACGUCCUAGGAUUGUCUUUGUACUUUUUAUGUAUUUUGACUUUAUUUCUUAUUAUUGUACUUGAUUAAUAUUUCAAUGAACCAUGGCCUUUUAUUUCAAAAAUCAAAUCUUGUCUUAAAUAAUGGCUUGGAUCAAUUUAUCAUAAUCUCAAUUAUUUGACGCUUAGGUCCACCUCUUGUCACAAAAGAGGUCAUGUUCAUAGUAGGAUGCAUUUUGAGUUUUCUGAUAUUAGGUGCUUUGUUUGCAACAUGAUACAUGUUUUUCUUUCUUUUCCAACAUUUUUUGCUUAUGUAACGACCCUUCCGGUCAUUUGUGAAAUUUUCCCGUCUUCUCUAUUUUAGCGCUCUCUGUAGUUGGUGUAUGUGAAUUAUGACUCACAAGAUGAGUAGUCUCAAUGCUUGAGGUAUUUGAAAGUUUUGAAUAUUUUAAACAAUUAGUUAAUUAAUAAAUUAAUGGAUCAAAAUAGCCAUUUAUUUAUUUAUGUGGUUAAUAUAAGAAUUGAAUUAAGUAGAAGAGGUUUAUCUUAUUUAACAAUAAUAUAAUACCACUAAAAGUUGAAAUAAAAGUAGUGGCUGAACGUAGCAAUUACAAGAUUCACACGAACGGUUUAAGGAAUUCGCAAUAAUCAUCAGGUUAGCCACUUGAGAAAUUAUUAAUAGUAUAUUUAUGUAGGCGUUUGGAUGUAUUGCAGUGUUAAAGAGAAGUGCGGCAAAUUUUGUUAAUUGGAAUUGGCUAAUAAAGAACUUAGUCUUUAAUAUGACAAAGUGUUGAUGGCCCAAUGGAAUUGGCCAAUUACAGACAGCACUUGAUAAGCCUUUUAUGGAAUUUUGCAUAUGUUGUAGGGGUCCGUACAAUGACCAUUUUUCUCAUUAUUUAAUAAUUGUUUUUCUCUUCUCUUUUCUUUCCGUAAUUUACUUCAUAUAUUAAAGAGAUUGCAGUUUAGGUCUAGAAUUUUUAGAGUAAGAAUAUAUAAAUUGGAGUUAUUAGAUUCGUAUUUUUAUAUGAACUAUAUGCUUGAACAGAUUUGGAUCUUUUAAAAGCU